rnacentral:lncRNA from 1 species
CCUGUAUGUAAUAUCUUUUCCCAUUUCAAAAAACCAAUGGGUGUUUCUGUUUUUAUUCUACUUUGCACUAUCUUAUAAAUAUCUUUAUUAUUAAUGCCCAGUAUAUCCUCAUGGUCUCUUAGUCUAAUUUUUUCUCUGUUAAUAUUUACUUUAGUUUUGAAUGAUCUCUCAGUUUUAAGCUUCUCCUCCCAGUGAUUUGGUAUGGCUUUUUUAAGUUUUGAAAAUUCAGCAAUCCAAUUACUUUUGUUUUUUAGUUUUAAAUUGAUUACUUUUUCUGAUAUUUGUCCUCUAUUGUCAAU